rnacentral:rRNA from 1 species
UACAGAGGUCCCAAGCGUUGUUCGGAUUCACUGGGCGUAAAGGGUGCGUAGGUGGCGGGGUCAGUCUGACGUGAAAUCUCCGGGCUUAACCCGGAAAUGGCGUUGGAAACUACCUUGCUUGAGGGUUGGAGGGGGGACUGGAAUACUUGGUGUAGCAGUGAAAUGCGUAGAUAUCAAGUGGAACACCAGUGGUGAAGGCGAGUCCCUGGACAACUCCUGACACUGAGGCACGAAAGCUAGGGGAGCAAACGGG